rnacentral:rRNA from 1 species
AACGAACGCUGGCGGCAGGCUUAACACAUGCAAGUCGAGCGCCCCGCAAGGGGAGCGGCAGACGGGUGAGUAACACGUGGGAAUCUACCCAUCCCUGCGGAACAACUCCGGGAAACUGGAGCUAAUACCGCAUACGCCCUUCGGGGGAAAGAUUUAUCGGGGAUGGAUGAGCCCGCGUUGGAUUAGCUAGUUGGUGGGGUAAAGGCCUAACAAGGCGACGAGCCAUAGCUGGUCUGAGAGGAUGAUCAGACACAUUGGGACUGAGACACGGCCCAAACUCCUACGGGAGGCAGCAGUGGGGAAUAUUGGACAAUGGGCGCAAGCCUGAUCCAGCCAUGCCGCGUGAAUGAUGAAGGCCUUAGGGUUGUAAAGUUCUUUCACCGAUGAAGAUAAUGACGGUAGUCGGAGAAGAAGCCCCGGCUAACUUCGUGCCAGCCGCCGCGGUAA